GACGAACGCUGGCGGCGUGCCUAAUACAUGCAAGUCGAACGAGAGCGACCGGUGCUUGCACUGGUCAAUCUAGUGGCGAACGGGUGAGUAACACGUGGGUAACCUGCCCAUCAGAGGGUGAUAACAUCCGGAAACGGGUGCUAAAACCGCAUAGGUCUUCGAGCCGCAUGGCUUGAAGAGGUAAAGAGGCGCAAGCUUCUGCUGAUGGAUGGACCCGCGGUGCAUUAGCUCGUUGGUGAGGUAACGGCUCACCAAGGCCGUGAUGCAUAGCCGACCUGAGAGGGUGAACGGCCACCUGGGGACUGAGACACGGCCCAAACUCCUACGGGAGGCAGCAGUAGGGAAUCUUCCGCGAUGGACGAAAGUCUGACGGAGCAACGCCGCGUGAGUGAAGAAGGUUUUCGGAUCGUAAAACUCUGUUGUUAGAGAAGAACAAGUGCUAGAGUAACUGUUAGCGCCUUGACGGUAUCUAACCAGAAAGCCACGGCUAACUACGUG
rnacentral:rRNA from 1 species